AUACCUACCUGGUAGGGGAGAUACCAUGAUCAUAAAGGUGGUUUUCCAGGGUGAGGCUUAUCCAUAGCACUCGGGAUGUGCUGGGCCCUGCGAUUCCCCCUAAUGUGGGCAACUCGCCUGCAUAAUUUGUGGUAGUGAGGGGCUUUUUUUUCGCUCUCCCCUA
ensembl:snRNA U1 U1 spliceosomal RNA